rnacentral:misc_RNA from 1 species
AAAUCCAAAUUUGAGAGGAAUUUUUUAACCUUCCCUUUAAAAAAAAAAAAAUUAUUUAUGACAGCUCUUCAAAUAUGGUUUGAGAAAAACCUAAUUAUGGCAUAUAUAUUUAGAGAGAAAAUUGCUAUUAAAUGUAACAAAAUUGUGAUUAAUUCAUGUAAAUUUUUUGGUAAAUUUAUUUUAAAGAGAAACUGCAACAAGGAAAAAAAUUAAUAAAAAGGAAAAUAAUGAAUUGAAUGAUACGCAAAAAUAUAUAUAAUUCAUAUAAAUCAUUAACCAAACAUCCAAACCAGAUUCAAAAACUCAAAACAAUCAAAACCGAUUCCGAUAUAAAAUAAUCAAACAAUCAAGAAACAACUAGAGUAUCACAAUAGGCGAGACCACGAGGCAAGUAAGUCACUGCCGAUGGAAUGGACAACGUGAUGGAAUAGAGAAGGUUAAAGGCGAGACCACAAGAGGCAGAGGAGAGAUCCCUCACCUGCGUCAUCACUGCCACUGUUGUUGCCGUUGCUGCCAUCUAUCGCCGCUGCACUGCACUGCACUGCCAGGUAAGUCCUUUGAUCCUCUCCUCCUUACGGGUGUUCGUCGCCAGAAAUGCAUGUUUGAUUUCCAGUAUUUUUGGAAAUGGCCCAGAAACAUCUCUAAGCCGUGUCAUCUCGUUUCUAUGUUGGAAACUUUUCGGACACUGGAAAAAGCUACCCAGUCCCAUUUUCGUACAUCACUUGUUACAAGUCAUCUUAUUGUUUGCGAUUCUCUCUUGGCAUAUGUCAGUGUAUAUGCAAGUGGAUACCAUUAACUAAAGUAUCAGCAUUCUCUUUUAGAAUCUCUAAAAAGAGAAUCUCUGUGGUUUUUAGAGACUCGUCUAAUCAGACUAGACAUAAUUGAUAUGAUACCCAACCUUCUCUCACAAAAUCUACUCACAGCCUCCAAUCUCUUAGCAUUUUAUCGAUUCUCAUCCUUUCAUCUCACAUUUUACCCUUAAUACCCUCAAUUUAUUUAAGGUAAGCAAAUUAGAUAGACAAAUUUUUAAUAGUAUUUAUUUAAACAAAAACCUUGAUAAUAGUAUUAUUUAAAAACAACAUUGAUAAAAUUUUUAUUUAAUUAAGUAUAUUAAUAUGAUAGAUUUAGUAAUAAAUUUAUUUAAGUUAAAAAUAAUAAAAAUAAAAUAAUGUGAUAAAUUUCCAAAUAAAUGCCAAGUUUAAGAUUUUUUUAAGUUAUUAGACAUUUUUAUAUUACACAUUUUAAUUAAUAAAAUUAAAUUAAUUAAGAGGAAUGAAAAGUAAAAAAUAAUUACUUUAAUUAAAGUAGCAAACAUAAGUAAUAAUUAUCAAUACAAGAACAAUAAAUUUAUAACGUAUUAUAAAUUAGUUAGAUAAAAAUAAAUACGACUCUAAUAAUGAUGCAAACGCCCUCUAGUGCUGCAUACAGGACACCUCUUCUUAUUUAUGCACCAGGUGUUGUAUCGCUUCAACCCACCUUCAUUAUCCCACUGUUUUCAACUUGAGUAGUUUCCAUCAAUGUCAUCGUUACGUUUAGAUCCAAUGGUUGGGAUCUAACUCUUGAUAAUUCCCCAAUAUGAUUGGGCAUUACAUAACUAUUAUUCAUAGCAAAAAGUCCGAGCCAUAUAGGAUAGAUCCAAGAUUUUAGUAAUGGGACUAGAAAGGAACUCUAAAGCAUUGCCAGAAAAUAUAUUAGCUCUUGAAUUGGAAAGAAUAUCUACAGAACAUCUACAGAAUGUCUACCAAAUGCUUAGAACAUUGCAUCGCUUAGCGUCUGAGAUUGUAGAAUGUCUAUAAAAACGUAAAAAGUCAAGUCCAUGGCCAGAAGUCUGAUCGCAUACCCAUUGCAUUCGAUGAAGAUGACUGAAAAGGCAUUGAAGAGGCAGGAGGACAACUGACCUUAUUCAAUAUAUGUGCCAAAUGAGUAGUAAGAGACUGACAAUGACACUGGAUAGAUUUCAGAGCUAAUGGAAAGUAUGGGAAUCUCUUUCCAUCUUUGUACUCUUAACUUCGGCGCUGUCGAGAUGCAUAUUGUGCUACAGAAGCCUCAUAUGGAUCAACAGGAAUUGGUGUCAGAUAGAGAAGCAAGUUAUGGUUUUGGUUGUGGUGGUGGUGGUAACUGUGUAAAUUACCCCCUCUUCGUUUAGAGCAAAUAAAACAACUCUUGCCCCUCCCUAAAUUUAACUAGCAAAUGGACCCUGAAGUUGCCCAACCUUAAUAACUAUGUCCUCUGCCUCGUCCACUUAAAAGCAAUUGGUAGCACCACGGAUCUCCACUCGUCCCAUUCCUGCAAACAAUAAACUUGAAAACCCUAUAUAUCAUUUUCCUAAUAUGAUUCUCAAACUAUCUGCGUGGUGUGUAUAAUAGUUGAAUGACAUAUAAAUUACAUUCAAUAAUUAACAAAAAAAAAUUAACCUCAUUUCGACUCAUUCUGUCUAUCUUGUAUAUGAUUUCCACUAGCAUGUGUUAUCACAUCAAUUAUUUGUCGUACUUGACUCCACCUUUACAAGGCAUCCACACAAAUCCAUCAUGUCAGUUCUUAGAGGAUAUUCCACCACAAUAAAUGUAUCUUCUCCAACUAGGGCUGAUUUUGAAAUUUGAUCCAUCAGUAUCCCAUAGUCAACUUCCGCAUAUGGAGGUGUGACGCUAAUGAAAUCAAAUUUUCUAUGCCUUCCUAUAAAUUUUUCUGCCCGUUCUAGAAAGUUUUCAACUCGAACUGUGUGUAUAACUGAAACGUCAAGGAACCCAGUUGACUCCAAAUUUGGUUGUAGAACGUUUGAAACAACCCAGGGAUCCAUCUCAACAAAAUGCACCUCAGAACAUCCUCGGCUGAUAGCUUCAAUACCAACAGAUCCUGUGCCACUGUACAAGUCCAACCAGCAACCUGGCCUCAAGGAUGCAGGACAGCCACCAGCUGCCUGCAAGAUAUCAAAGGCAGAACCUUUUACAACUUCCAUCAUUGGCCGCACAUCCAUUCCUGCUGGUGAAAGCAAUUUCUUUCUUUUAGCCUUUCCUCCAAGCACCUGAAGCAACGUAUGCGUGGUCCUCGGUGGCUUAGCCUCCUCUUCAGGGACCCUGACUUGUUUUCCUCUUCCUGUCUUUUGCACUUCCUUUUUUCUCCUCGACUUAGGAGAGGGUUCUGAUAAGAAGUCAUUAGGAUCGAGACCGUAUCGUUCGAAUAACGCUUUCUUAUCUCCACUAGUCAAUCCACUCCCUGAUUUCUGAGAGCAGACGAUAAUGGUUGAAAGGCGAUUGGCAGAGUUGUAGGAGACGUUGAAGAGAGGGAGAAUGGAAGAGGAAGCGGCAAGGUUGGAGUUGAUGUUGAUGCGUAGUGGAGAGGAAAUUGGGGACGCUGAAAUUGCCAUUGUUAGAGACUUUAAGCUUUUUCACCUGGAAGUGGAAGCCUGAAGCCUGAAGCCUGGAACCUGGAAGUGGAAACUGGAGUCUGGAGAGUGAAGUCCGAAAUAAACUGUAUUUUUU